GCCGGCUGGUGAGCUACGAUGCCGCCGCCGCACAGAAACAGCUUCGCUCGGGAAAUGGCGGGCUAGGAUGGUGGGGGCGGCCGCUCCCUGCUCGCGCAGGGAAGCGCGCAUUGACCCGGCCGUGCUGUUGUCCAAGCGACGCGCUGCAGGCGGUGCACGGGAGGAAGCGGCGCAGGAGCAGCUAGGGUUCCGCGACUACCAGGCAAGAUUGCAUAAACUGCAAUCGCCAAAAUAAGGUUACACGCGACUUGAAGAAUAGAGAAUGCAAAACGGAUGGUAGGAGCGAAGCAUCACUUAGUACAUUAAUGCUUCUAUGCAGUACUCAGUCACUGUAACUCACUGCUGCCUUUCUGCAAAUGAAGGCCAAUUUUUUUUAUUCAUAUACUGCAAUACAUGUUUGAAAACUGUGCUUGAUUUUGAGGGUCUCAGCGCAAACUGCAAAUCGUCGCACUUCAAGACGCUCUUCCGGUGUUCUGUCUGGGUUAGUUCAAUGUUUCCUGUACGCAUUCUAGGGUGGUCUAGGCGAUUGCAGAUUAGUCCUGAGUCCUGACCCAAAUUGAAAUCCUCAUGCACAACAAUCAAGAUGACAUUAGCUGCAGGUGCCAAAAUAGGGGUAAGCAAAUUAAGGCGAAUUUGGUGAUGCAAAAGGUGAAUAUGAAACCAUACAGGAUGCACAAAAAAAAAAAGGUCAGAAGCCUAGCAUGCAGUACCAUUUUGUAUAGUGACACCUGUCACCUAUGCUGUAGCUUCUGCAACUACCAGCAGUUUCACCAUUCUAUUUCAUUCAGCAUGUGAGUUUGAUAACGUCUGCUUGAUCUUGAAGAUUUCAGUGCAAACUUGUCCCA